GGCUGUAGUCGGUCCCAAGGGUUGGGCUGUUCGCCCAUUAAAGCGGUACGCGAGCUGGGUUCAGAACGUCGUGAGACAGUUCGGUCCCUAUCCGUCGUGGGCGCAGGAAAUUUGAGAGGAGCUGUCCUUAGUACGAGAGGACCGGGAUGGACGCACCGCUGGUGUACCAGUUGUCUUGCCAAAGGCAUAGCUGGGUAGCUACGUGCGGACGGGAUAAGUGCUGAAAGCAUCUAAGCAUGAAGCCCCCCUCAAGAUGAGAUUUCCUUUUACUUCGGUAAGYAAGAUCCCUGAAAGAUGAUCAGGUAGAUAGGUUCGAGGUGGAAGCAUGGCGACAUGUGGAGCUGACGAAUACUAAUCGAUCGAGGACUUAACCCAA
rnacentral:rRNA from 1 species